rnacentral:rRNA from 1 species
GACGAACGCUGGCGGCGUGCCUAAUACAUGCAAGUAGAACGCUGAAGAGAGGAGCUUGCUCUUCUUGGAUGAGUUGCGAACGGGUGAGUAACGCGUAGGUAACCUGCCUUGUAGCGGGGGAUAACUAUUGGAAACGAUAGCUAAUACCGCAUAACAAUGGAUGACUCAUGUCAUUUAUUUGAAAGGGGCAAAUGCUCCACUACAAGAUGGACCUGCGUUGUAUUAGCUAGUAGGUGAGGUAACGGCUCACCUAGGCGACGAUACAUAGCCGACCUGAGAGGGUGAUCGGCCACACUGGGACUGAGACACGGCCCAGACUCCUACGGGAGGCAGCAGUAGGGAAUCUUCGGCAAUGGGGGCAACCCUGACCGAGCAACGCCGCGUGAGUGAAGAAGGUUUUCGGAUCGUAAAGCUCUGUUGUAAGUCAAGAACGAGUGUGAGAGUGGAAAGUUCACACUGUGACGGUAGCUUACCAGAAAGGGACGGCUAACUACGUGCCAGCAGCCGCGGUAA